AGACAGCAGUCGCCACGGUAAUACGGAGGGUGCAAGCGUUAAUCGGAAUUACUGGGCGUAAAGCGCACGCAGGCGGUCUGACAAGUCAGAUGUGAAAUCCCCGGGCUUAACCUGGGAACUGCAUUUGAAACUGUCAGGCUGGAGUCUUGUAGAGGGGGGUGGAAUUCCAGGUGUAGCGGUGAAAUGCGUAGAGAUCUGGAGGAAUACCGGUGGCGAAGGCGGCCCCCUGGACAAAGACUGACGCUCAGGUGCGAAAGCGUGGGGAGCAAACAGGAUUAGAUACCCCGGUAGUCCCUGUCUCUUAUAC
rnacentral:rRNA from 1 species